GUACUCGCUUCGGCGGUACAUAUACUAAAAUUGGAACGAUACAGAGAAGAUUAGCAUGGCCCCUGCGCACGAAUAAAACAUAGAUCAACGUUUAGUUGUUUU